rnacentral:tRNA from 1 species
GGGGUGUAGCUCAUUGGUAGAGCAUUUGCCUAUCAAGCAUGAGGCCCUGGGUUCCAUCCCCAGCACCACCC